rnacentral:rRNA from 1 species
CCUACGGGAGGCAGCAGUGGGGAAUAUUGGGCAAUGGGCGCAAGCCUGACCCAGCAACGCCGCGUGAAGGAAGAAGGCUUUCGGGUUGUAAACUUCUUUUAAGAGGGAAGAGCAGAAGACGGUACCUCUUGAAUAAGCCACGGCUAACUACGUGCCAGCAGCCGCGGUAAUACGUAGGUGGCAAGCGUUGUCCGGAUUUACUGGGUGUAAAGGGCGUGCAGCCGGGAAGACAAGGCAGAUGUGAAAUCCCGGGGCUCAACCGCGGAACUGCAUUUGAAACUGUUUUUCUUGAGUACCGGAGAGGUCAUCGGAAUUCCUUGUGUAGCGGUGAAAUGCGUAGAUAUAAGGAAGAACACCAGUGGCGAAGGCGGAUGACUGGACGGCAACUGACGGUGAGGCGCGAAAGCGUGGGGAGCAAACAGGAUUAGAUACCCGAGUAGUC